GAAUCCUGAUUAAUACUAGGGAGCUAAAUUUCAAUUAGUGAUAUGAGAAUUUGAUUUGUUGAUGUCGUGAAAAAGUUGAUCAGUUGAGAGGACAUUAUUGACAAAUAAGUAACAUUGCCUAAAAUAAUUAUCAUAUUUUUUGGAGUUGCAGAAAGAAUUGUAAUUUGCGGAGAAGCUUCCUCCAGGGCAUCCAUGGCUUUACUACAACAACUACAAUCCGAAUAUGGACGGGAUGACAUGCCACGUGGAAAUGCUUGUUCUAAACGAUUAUUGUAGUGGUACACGCAAGACUCUUCUGACUAUAAUGUCCGGCAAGCCAAUAAUUGGUGAUGUCCUUACCUUAGUUUGUCGAUGCUCACCAAAGGACAUUUUGGGCCAAAAGGAAACAAAUAUGGCAACCAAUGAUUUCUGCCACCGACAUUUUUUGUAAGUUUAUUUACAGUUCGAAAUUUAGUCUUCAAAAUUAAUAUAUCUUCCCAGAUAUACUAGAAACAUAAUAAGAUUCCUUACUUAGUUCAAUAUUCAUCGUAGCAAAUUGUUUUAAGCCCAAAAUAGAACUGUGUUGGCACAAUGAAAUACAUCAAGGAUAACUUCAUAGGAGAUCUUGGCAGUUUACACCAAGUUCGUUAAUUUUAUUGAACUAUCAAUUAAUUCGUAUAAUAAUAUUUCAUGGCUGUUUUAGUUAAGGUUAUUUUCCGACUGUUGUUGUAGAUUUUUGUGUCAAUUUACCUCAAUGGCCAUUGGUUUCUCAUAGUGGUUGAUUUACUUUACGAGAUCGUGAGAUAUCUGGACUCUUUCAAAAAGGGCACAUUGAUGACAGAGCGUAAGAGUGUCAUUAACAAUGUGUUAAAUUACUUUGAGAAUUUUUUAUCCGACAUGAACUUCGGUGAAACACCUUCCUUUAGAAACAUUCAAUUUUCUAAGUAUAAAUUCAAUGAGCCAGCUGUCCCGCAAUAAUCUGCCAAAUCGUAAGUUUAAAUAUACCAUUUUUCAAAGUAUAUAUUCAAUUUAGUGGUUGUUUGUUCUUUUGUUAUAUUGCUUUGUUAAUAUAUGCAUUGAAUUGUGGCAAAGGAAUGACGGUGGUAUUUGGGUCGCUCAAUGGAUGCACCUCAAUCGCUAUUGGAGCCUCGGUAAUAAGACAUGGGUAAGAAAAAUAUCAUUGUUAAUAAAGUUAUGUUUAUUCCAUUAUGUGAUAUCAUAGUUACUGUCUGUUAGAUUGUCAAUGAUUACACAAAGAUGUGCCUGGCUGUGAAUUUGGUGAAUGACUCUAAUAACUCGAAGCGGGAUAUCAUAGUGGAGCUUGCUGUCACUGACUGGAAUAAAAAGAUGCAGCAGUUUGUCAUACAGACUUAGGAUUUUAUAACCUUUUUUAUUAGUAGUUAUGGAUUGAAUUAGACCAUUUUAAUUUUCUUUAAAAUACAAGCUAUCUUUAUAUCUUGCACUUAUUUC